rnacentral:rRNA from 1 species
AACGGAUAUCUGGGCUCUCGCAUCGAUGAAGAACGUAGCGAAAUGCGAUACUUGGUGUGAAUUGCAGGAUCCCGUGAACCAUCGAGUUUUUGA